rnacentral:rRNA from 1 species
UACGGAAGGCAGCAGUGGGGAAUAUUGCACAAUGGGCGCAAGCCUGAUGCAGCCAUGCCGCGUGUAUGAAGAAGGCCUUCGGGUUGUAAAGUACUUUCAGUCGUGAGGAAGGUGUUAAGGUUAAUAACCUUAGCAAUUGACGUUAGCGACAGAAGAAGCACCGGCUAACUCCGUGCCAGCAGCCGCGGUAAUACGGAGGGUGCGAGCGUUAAUCGGAAUUACUGGGCGUAAAGGGCACGCAGGCGGUUAAUUAAGUUGGAUGUGAAAUCCCCGGGCUUAACCUGGGAAUGGCAUUCAAGACUGGUUAGCUAGAGUCUUGUAGAGGGGGUAGAAUUCCAUGUGUAGCGGUGAAAUGCGUAGAGAUGUGGAGGAAUACCGGUGGCGAAGGCGGCCCCUGGACAAAGACUGACGCUCAUGUGCGAAAGCGUGGGGAGCGAAA